CACGUAGGAGGCGAGCGUUGUCCGGAAUCAUUGGGCGUAAAGAGCGCGCAGGCGGCUUGGCAAGUCGGGUGUGAAAUCCCGGGGCUCAACCCCCGUGACUGCAUUCGAUACUGUCAGGCUAGAGGUAGGUAGGGGAGAUCGGAAUUCCUGGUGUAGCGGUGAAAUGCGCAGAUAUCAGGAGGAACAGCCGGUGGCGAAGGCGGAUCUCUGGGCCGUAACUGACGCUGAGGAGCGAAAGCGUGGGGAGCGAACAGG
rnacentral:rRNA from 1 species